UGGGGAAUUUUGGACAAUGGGCGAAAGCCUGAUCCAGCCAUGCCGCGUGCAGGAUGAAGGCCUUCGGGUUGUAAACUGCUUUUGUACGGAACGAAAAGACUCUGGUUAAUACCUGGGGUCCAUGACGGUACCGUAAGAAUAAGCACCGGCUAACUACGUGCCAGCAGCCGCGGUAAUACGUAGGGUGCAAGCGUUAAUCGGAAUUACUGGGCGUAAAGCGUGCGCAGGCGGUUAUAUAAGACAGAUGUGAAAUCCCCGGGCUCAACCUGGGAACUGCAUUUGUGACUGUAUAGCUAGAGUACGGCAGAGGGGGAUGGAAUUCCGCGUGUAGCAGUGAAAUGCGUAGAUAUGCGGAGGAACACCGAUGGCGAAGGCAAUCCCCUGGGCCUGUACUGACGCUCAUGCACGAAAGCGUGGGGAGCAAACAGGAUUAGAUACCCUGGUAGUCCACGCCCUAAACGAUGUCAACUGGUUGUUGGGGUCUUUCACUGACUCAGUAACGAAGCUAACGCGUGAAGUUGACCGCCU
rnacentral:rRNA from 1 species